rnacentral:lncRNA from 1 species
CUGAUAUGGCAGGAUGAGAAGUCACUAUUGGGAAUCGGCCAAUUGCUGCUACAGUUGGAGAUCGGCCUAUUUAGCGCUACAGUGUUCUAACAGAUAGAGUUGGUAGGGAUCGGCCGAUUGGAAGGUUGGAGCAGUUGGGCCAAUAUGGGCUUAAAGUGGAUCAGAAAGAGAAUAUGAAGGGGGAUUGGCCCGUGGGAGUGCAAUGACCAAAUCCGAUACGAGUUGUACUUGUAAAUAUUUGUUUUCGUUUAAAAUUAGAGAUAGAUCCUAGUCGGUUAAGAAGUUGGUCAUAACAAGCUAUAAAUAGCCACCUUUAGAGAUAU